UACUUACAGAAAUUCAGAAUACAUACAUGCUUGCGCGCACUGCAUUCGUCCCUGUCUAUCAUCCACCACCGCCGUCUCCGCCUCCCGCAUGCGAAUUGGCCUUCGCUUCUGCUAUAUCUCCGUGAUCGCCGCAGCAACCAACCUCCGCAACACCCGAGGCCGCCACCCCCAGACUGACGCCGUUUUUGGGGGCCUGCUGCCCCCUGACAUCUGCUGUUUUCGCUAGGGUUCUUCCGAUUGUUCCACCGUCAAUUGCUUGCUCAACCAUAGGGGCGAAAUAAGUUGGAAUUCGAGGGCCAUGGCUCCGGGGCGCCGGCGCGGAGCCAAGGGGGUUAAGUCGAAGAACGACUUGGUUUUGGGCGAUCUCGUCCUCGCCAAAGUUAAGGGUUUCCCCGCUUGGCCUGCCAAGAUCAGCAGACCUGAAGACUGGCAGCGCGCUCCUGAUCCUAAAAAGUGCUUUGUCCAGUUCUUUGGUACAGCAGAAAUAGCUUUUGUUGCUCCUGUGGAUAUCCAAAUAUUCACCAAUGAAGCGAAAAAUAAAUUGUCAGCUCGAUGCCAGGGUAAGACUGUUAAAUACUUUGCCCAAGCGGUGAAGGAAAUAUGUGAAGAAUUUGAAGAGUUGCAGCGAAAAAGAUUAAGUGAUGUUGGAGAUGUUAACAGUACACAAACUCAUCCACAUGAGGCACAUUCUGUUGAUCCAAUGGUAGAAGGGGCAUUGGAUAUUUAUCAAAACAAUGGGAUUGCGCCAGAAUGCAAGUUGGAGACUAAAGAGUAUGAUGAUCCGGGCUCUGGCUUAGAGCAUUGUCCGCACAAGCAAGAUGCGGUGGAAUGUCAAGAUGUAAAGCCUUAUUUGUCUGAUGACGUGAGUCGUAGGUUGUCCCCUCCUUUAUCCUUGCGGAAGAGCAAUAAGAUCUCUUCAAACAACAACAAUGCUUCAAAGGAUUCACUAUCAGUUUCUAGCCAUUCACACCAUUUUCUUAAGAAGGAAGAUCCUCUUGAUAAAAGAGUAAAAGGCAGAUCAACUGAUGGUAGCCAGAAUGAAUUGACAAAUGGACACAGACAAAAGCUGGCAAUGGGGUCAAAGAAAAAAUCUCCGGGUGCAGAACAUAGUAGUGGUGGAUCAGCUGUUUCUCAUGAUCAUAAAGGAGAUGCGAUGAGAAGAAAAUUUGCUCCAGGUGAGGGCAUGAAGCUUUCAUCACCUGAUAUCCCAAAAUUACGUUUAGAUAUUAAUAGUCAGAAGAGGGAAAAGCAGUUGGUGAAAGAAAAAAGGCAAUCUGAGGCAUUACAUGAUGGUCAACAGGAUGCUAUUACCUGGAAAAAGAUGAAGGUCCAGCAUGGCAAUGAAAAGAAAGGGUCUCAUACAAAUGACGUAUCAUCUCCUGCCAAAAUCUCAAAAAUUGCUGAUUCUAGAGGUCCUAAUAUUCUUGAUGACAAAAUGCCUAGCAAAGAGCCUAAAAGGUUUACAUCAGUUGGGAAGGCUGAGGUCUUCCAGUCCAUUAGACCUACAGUUAUUAGUAACUCUGAAUCCGACAACGAUCUCCCCCCAAUAAAACGCCAUCGCCGGGAACCGGAAACAAUGUGUGCAUCUGCCUUGAUAUCUGAAAAUAGAUUGGAAACUUUUGUGUCAGAUAAGACUGACAAAGUACUUUCUAGCGAAGUCAUAUCUCCAGUUGUGCAGUUACCGUUGAAGCGUAGAUCUGUCCGCAUAUAUGAUGAUGAUGAUGAUGAGUUGCCUAAAACUCCUGUUCACGGAGGAACUUCUAGUAAGGUGUCUGUACCACGCCUAUCAGAUACAAAAAAGAAAUCUGUAACGCAUGGUGAGAAAUUUGUCCAUGAUCUCCAGGUGUUAAGAAAUUCAGGAGAAGUUGAAAAUGGGUUAAAAGAUCAGGUACAGUAUAAUGGAGUGAUGAAGAAGCUGCUAUCUCCAGCUUCUCAACAGGGUACGGAGAAGAGGACGCGAGAUUCAUCAGCACAUGUAUCUCCUAGUCCACAGCAGAUGAACUCUGAGAAAUUAGCCCCAAUGGAGGUUAAACCAGUUUCAGUUUCCCCUAAAAGGCCCCCCCAGUCUGUUGGUGGUGGGAGAGUGUCAGGAGAACUGGAAAGCAAGCAACCCAACAAGGCACCUAGUAGCGAUUUUAGGCAAAAAACUCCAGCAGGAGGCAACAAGAAUGCAGCAUCGUCUGAUAGGUCAAACUUAUUUCCUAAUCAAUUGCUAAGUGGAAGAAGCAAGCAACCUUCUUCUGGAGAGAGAAAGAAAACUACUCCAAAAUCAGGUUCGCGGAUCAAUGACUCUGUGGUUGGGGCUUCAAAGGAAAACAUCACGUCAAUUAAGGAAAGGGUGAAUGAUAGCAAAGACCACAAAACAAGUCACACAGUUGACUCAAAAACAUCAGACUCCGUCAUGUCAAUGAAACAUCUUAUUGCUGCUGCUGCUCAGGCAAGAAAGAAACAGACACACUUUCAAAAUACCCAUGGAAACCCUUUUCUUUUUUCUAUUUCUGACAUUGAGAUAGCUGGACGGGGACCAAGUCCUGCACCUGCUGCUUUGGUGUAUGAAGCAAGGAAUACACUCCAACUGGAUAUUUUAGGAGCUAAUCCAAUUUCUCCUUCCGCCAAUCUUCAUCAAAUCCAAUCUAGUCAUCAACAUGAGAAUGAUGAGCUUGAGGAGAGGAGGUUAAGCUCUGGUCAUCCAGGCACUGGGAGCUCUCUAAGUGGGGGUACUGAGGCAGCUGUUGCUCGUGAUACCUUUGAAGGGAUGAUAGAGACACUGUCAAGGACCAAAGAGAGUAUUGCACGUGCAACUAGACUGGCAAUUGAUUGUGCAAAGUAUGGACUCGCCAAUGAGGUUGUGGAACUUCUUAUACAGAAGUUAGAAAAUGAGCCAAGUUUACAUCGCAGAGUGGAUCUGUUUUUCCUUGUUGACUCAAUAACGCAGUGCUCUCACACCCAGAGAGGGGUCUCAUACGUCUCUACUGUUCAAGCUGCGUUGCCCCGCCUCGUUGGAGCUGCUGCUCCUGCUGGUGCUCAGGAAAAUCGUCGUCAGUGUCGGAAGGUCUUGCGUUUGUGGCUCGAGAGGAAAAUCUUGCCAGAAUCCAUUCUUCGUCGCUACAUGGAUGACUUUGGAGUGGUAAAUGAUGAUACAUCAAUCCCACUAAGACGCCCUUCCCGAGCUGAACGAUCUAUUGAUGAUCCUAUUAGAGAAAUGGAAGGCAUGGUUGUUGAUGAAUAUGGAAGCAAUGCUAUGUUUCAGUUACCUGGAUUUCUUUCAGCAAGUGUGUUCGAAGAAGAGGAAGAUGAGGAUGCUACUGAUACGAGUUUACGCCUGAAAGAUGAUGGUGCUUCACCUUCCAAGGAUGCACCUGCUAAAGGAAGAGAUCAUGAGAACCAUUCUGUUACUCCUAGCGAUAGGCGCCAUUGCAUAUUGGAGGAAGUUGAUGGUGAGCUUGAAAUGGAAGAUGUAUCUGGACACCAAAAGGAUGAGAGACUGACGAUGACUAAUGACACUAUUGAGCUCGCUUCAUUGGAGCUCAAUCCAGAUAGUGGCCGUGAAUCUUCUUCAAACACCUCCACCGAGUGGCUUCCUUAUCCAGAGGGGUCUCCUCCAUUACCACCUGGAUCUCCACCUAUGACUCCACCAUUGCCAUCUUCACCACCUCCAUCAUCACCACCUCCACCUCCACCUGCACCUCCAUAUUCUCCCCCACCUCCUCCACCACCCAUCAUAGUCCAACAUCCUUUUCCACAACCACCUGUUAAACCAUCUCAGCUACCUGUUGGUCCUGCAUCACAAGCUGGUCCAACUCCACCUGUUGGACCUCCACUAAGACCUGUUGAUCCGUCUCCUAUUGGCCCUCCACUGAGACCUGCCGGUCCUUCUCCACCAGUUGGACCUCCCCCACAUCUUCAUCCUCCACCUUUUGGUCCUCCGCCUCAUCUGGGUCCUGUGCCACUAAUUUCCCAGCAAUUAUUUCCGUCUCGGCCUCCACUUCCAUCACUGCCACUGUCUCCACAAUCAUCUUAUCGACCUCAUCCUUUACCACGUGAAGUUAGUGCCACACCCACUGGAAAUCAACAGACCAAUAUGGUUUCUACUAUUCAUGGGUCUCAUAUGGAUGCAUCUGUUAGAGGGGAAGUACCACCACAACAAUCAUCUUGUUUACCUCCUUCUGGGAUCAGCAAUGCACGAGAACAUGUUGGCCAUAAUUCGUCUAGGCAUGUGGAAUAUGGAGAGGAUAACACUUAUAUGAAUCCCCAAGCUUCACAGCAUAGGCAGCAGUAUCUGCCUGGUAGUGUGCCUUUCGCACAAAGGCCUGUGCAUCCUGAACUCCCAUCUCAACGACCACCUAACCAUUUCCCCUAUCCAAAUGCAGCUCAACAACAUCAGUACCCCUCUUAUUCAUUACCAAACUUUGCCGAUAAUCCAAGGAGAUAUAUAGCUGAUGAGCAAUGGCGGAAGCAAGGAAAUGACUUCAUUGUGGAUCAUCCUCGUGGUGGGUGGAUGCCAGGAGGAAGGUCAUGUUCUGGUCCAUCUUAUUCCCAAGAAGGUUACCAUGAAAGGCCUCCUUCAAGUACUACCAUAAAUUAUCAGCACUCUGCCCCAAAUAGUCUACCUUCGUCUGGUCAAAUGCCAGUUCAUGGUGUUCCCAUGAUGCUGCCUAGACCGAACAUGUCUUCCGUCAACUGGAGACCAGCAUAGACUUAUUCUGACUCAAAUUUUGUGACUAUCGUGUCGUUUGAAGUCUGGCAAAUGGAAGUAUGUUUAAAUUGAUUGAAAUCCAACAGCACAGAAAGAUGCAUGCAUCAUCCUGGAAAAUUCUCGAAUGGGCAAAGGAUAGAGAACUAUUGUUGCUGGAGUUUUUCAGGUUAUACAUUUGCGAGGAGUAUGGGCUUUAAUAUGCUCCAACUGAGAGGUUGCUUUCCAUCGGGAUAGAAUUGAAUUGGUGGGAAGUUGUUGGAAACCUUCACGGGUCUUUAUACUAGAAAAUUGCCUGACAAAAAGCAUUCAAGGGUUCACAACUAAUCUGAGAGGGAGGGAGGAGAAUCCCCAGAUCCGUCAGGGCUGUUACCCCACCGUCAAAGCUUCUCUGGCUAGCGAUUAUUAAAUUAAUUGUGUUCCUAUGAAUUUCGAAGUUUCUCUGGCUAGCGAUUAUUAAAUUAAUUGUAUUCCUACGAAUUUCGUCAUCAAUUUGGGGUUCUGAUUUUUAUUUUGUUGCGGAUGGAAAGAUACGGGAUAUUGGAUUAUGACAAUGGCGAAGUGGAAUUUGAAUCCAGAUUAAUGAUGGCAUCAUCACCGCCGUCGAGAUCACUACCGAUAUCUAGCUCGCCGUUCGAUGCCGCCGGGAUCGGCGGGCACAGUUACAUAAUACACACCGUUAGCAAAUACGACACUCUCGCCGGCGUCGCCAUAAAAUACGGUGUCGAGGUGGCAGAUAUUAAGAGGUUAAAUGGAUUGGUGACUGAUAUCCAAAUGUUUGCGUUGAAGACCCUUAAAAUACCAUUGCCAGGGAAGCACCCCAUGUCCCCCACCUUGUGCAAUGGCCAAGAGACUCAAUGGCCAAGCAGCUCCGAGCAGGACCCAUCCAGCAGUCGACAAUCUGAUUUAUUUGAUUCGUUUCAGUCUUUAAAAUUAAGUUCUUCAGAGCAUCAUAAUGUCUCACCAGCCAUGAACAGCUUACGAGGUUAUUAUGGUCUCAGACAACCAGAUGAAAAGGCUUCCUCCGAAGGUUUGGAGCGGAAUGGAAGAGCUAACUAUCUUAAGGAUGGGUCAUUUUACACACAUUCAAAACAUCCAUUGAGUCAUCAAAGAAAAUCGAGAAGUGUUGCUAAUAAUUUAAUGUAUGCAAAUGGUGGGCUGCAUAAUCCACUCUUGUCACCAGAAUCUGAAGAUAAUGGCACUAACAAAUGGAUUGAGAAGCUUUUAGGGAGGCGGCAAAAGUCUGAAACAGAACUAUCAUCUUGUCCCCCAGAAAAGCUUCUUAAGGAGGAAAGCAGCAGUAGCAGUGGUAUUUCAAGCGAAGGCUUGGCUCUCAGGUCCAAGGCAGCCACCAGAGCUUUUUCAGGCGAAGUAGAUGCUGACUCGGGUCGGCUGAACCCAAUUUCUUUAAAUUUGGGGGAAUCACCUCAAACUGACUCUGUCACUGUAGUACGGAAGUCAUCAAGUACAUCGAGUUUGAUGGAUACAGAUAUUAGUGCAUUAUCAUCUCUAUGGGCAACGUCUACGUGGAGUUUGAAGCCAGAUUUCCAGGCUCUCUCUUCUGCUGCGUUGCCUAUCUUUGAUGGUCUGCCUAAGCCAAUGAGCCGGAAAAACAAAGCUGCGCUCGAUUAGUGAGCCCAUUAAUCGCUCUAUUCUUUCAUCCACCUUGCAGAAGCUUUUACUGAACGCUGAGAUCAGUAAAAAUGAAUUUGAUGUGAACAAAUAUAGAUGCUUACGACCACCAGUUACGAAUCAGUCGCAGUUUUGGUAAAAUGAUACUCGAGUCGCCACUCUGAUGGUGUUGAAGAAAAAGUUGAUCUUCAUUCACCUGAGGAAUGGGGAGAACAGCAAAGGCUUUUUUUGCUGUGCUUUUGGAAUUGCUGCAGCAUGUGUACAUUCAACAUUCAUAGAUAGCGUGUAUAUUGGAUUGGACAGUCACCUUUCUUUUUAUGACAAGGAGAAAAGAAAAUUAUAUUUGUACUUGCACAUAUUUAUAUAUUACUCCCCAUUUAUAUUCUUUUUGCUUGA